UUUAUGUGCAUUUGUCCAUAUUUUAAUGUUAUUGUCUGACAGAAUCUCAUUCAUUUAAUUAUUUUUGGCUUCCUAGUUGCCAGCAAAGGAGCUGUAUAAGGUCCAUCUUCAAAAACAAAUAAGAAAAAGUGACAUGGAGAUGGACCUUAUACAGCUUCAAAUGGAGGCGAAAAGGCUAUCCAUAAAAAAAGCAACAUUAGAAAUAGAAUUACUGGAGCAUCGCCUUAAGGAAAUAAAGAAAUGAACCACACCGCAGACCAGUGCACACAAUUUAAUAAAAGUAAUUCUGAGAAAUCCUG